rnacentral:rRNA from 1 species
GACGAACGCUGGCGGCGUGCUUAACACAUGCAAGUCGAACGGAAAGGCCCUGCUUUUGGGGGGUGCUCGAGUGGCGAACGGGUGAGUAACACGUGAGUAACCUGCCCUUGACUUUGGGAUAACUUCAUGAAACUGGGGCUAAUACCGGAUAGGAGCUCCUGCUGCAUGGUGGGGGUUGGAAAGUUUCGGCGGUUGGGGAUGGACUCGCGGCUUAUCAGCUUGUUGGUGGGGUAGUGGCUUACCAAGGCUUUGACGGGUAGCCGGCCUGAGAGGGUGACCGGCCAAACUGGGACUGAGAUACGGCCCAGACUCCUACGGGAGGCAGCAGUGGGGAAUAUUGCACAAUGGGAGGAAGCCUGAUGCAGCAACGCCGCGUGCGGGAUGACGGCCUUCGGGUUGUAAACCGCUUUCGCCUGUGACGAAGCGUGAGUGACGGUAAUGGGUAAAGAAGCACCGGCUAACUACGUG